AACCUAGCACACCUGCGGUGUGUACCUGCGGAAGGAUCAUUACAGAGUGAGGGCCUUCGGGCUCGACCUCCAACCCUUUGUGAACACAACUUGUUGCUUCGGGGGCGACCCUGCCGUUUCGACGGCGAGCGCCCCCGGAGGCCUUCAAACACUGCAUCUUUGCGUCGGAGUUUAAGUAAAUUAAACAAAACUUUCAACAAUGGAUCU
rnacentral:misc_RNA from 1 species